rnacentral:rRNA from 1 species
UACGAAGGGUGCAAGCGUUAUUCGGAUUUAUUGGGCGUAAAGGGUUCGUAGGCGGGAUUAUAAGUCAAGUGUGAAAUCCCCGAGCUUAACUCGGGACGUGCAUUUGAAACUGUGAUUCUUGAGUCAUUGAGAGGGUGGUGGAAUUGUUGGUGUAGGAGUGACAUCCGUAGAGAUCAACAGGAACAUCAGAGGCGAAAGCGGCCACCUGGCAAUGUACUGACGCUGAGGAACGAAAGCGUGGGGAGCAAACAGG